UUUGGGUUCAGAACCACAGAGAAGAUAGAGACAGGAGGCAGAUCACUCACCUUUCAACUGUGCUCUUGUAGUUCUGUAAAAAUGUGAUGUCAUCAGUUCCCAUCUCCUCCUCUAUGGCUCUGAUUGUGUUUGAAAGAGAUGAGAUCUCUCUGUUCAUCUUCUCAA